rnacentral:rRNA from 1 species
UACGGAGGGUGCAAGCGUUGUCCGGAUUUAUUGGGUUUAAAGGGUGCGUAGGCGGCCCUGUAAGUCAGCGGUGAAAUACUGCAGCUUAACUGUAGCAUUGCCAUUGAUACUGUAGGGCUUGAGUACAGAUGAGGUAGGCGGAAUUGAUGGUGUAGCGGUGAAAUGCAUAGAUACCAUCAAGAACACCGAUUGCGAAGGCAGCUUACUAAGCUGUAACUGACGCUGAGGCACGAAAGCGUGGGGAUCGAACAGG